ensembl:miRNA
ACUAUGAACUGUCCUUUUUCGGUUAUCAUGGUACCGGUGCUGUAUACGUGAAAGGUACAGUACUGUGAUAACUGAAGAAUGGUGGUGCCAUCAC